AUCUGCAGCUGUGGCCAUAAACUCCAGCAGCCUGCGCAGUUCCUCACGUGCAGACGCAGACAGCAGCUUCAGCGUCAGCUGCAGGACUUCCAACGCUUGUUCAAACUUCCCAUUAGCUGGAUAUACAGGCAUAUCACAAACACGCUCUCGCUGGAGAACGCAGACAUGUGACCCACGAUCAAACGCUGGUAAUAUACCAUUCUGUUAUCUGCAUUUCUCUGUGGUCACCUCAAUCACUUUCUCUCUCACACACACCACGUCUUUCUUUGUCCUUUGUGGUUCCUGCUGUUUUUAAUUUGUUGAGUGUAGGGAACUUUUCUGUGCAGGUUUCAGUGCUGAACUUGAAAUAGUUGCGGCAAAAACUCUGCCAGACGCCUGAGGGGCUGAAAUACCUGAAUGAAACAUUUUAAAACAAAUCUUUGUUUGAUGUCCAAGAGAAAAAUGAAACCGUAACAUGUCUAAGGAUCAAGGAAAUGCUAGCAUAUAAAUAAUUCAUCAGUCCUUUUGUUUGAAAUCUUUGUUACAUAAUUUUUUUUUUCAGUACUGUCAAUCACACAAUACAGGUUAGAGAAGGAAUGUAGUAGAACAUACAUUCUAUAAAUUAUGAUAAUUAUUUUGCUUUUAAAUGGACAGACAUAAAAACAGUAGCUUGAAUUUAAAACAUUCAAAGAAUCAAAGAAACAAAUCCUGAUUCAGAACUUGUUCAUUCAAACAUUUGGAUGAUCUGUAUUCGUUUGCAUGAUGUUCUGGCACUGCUGAGCUGAAUAACUGUGACCUACACUUGCAUUUCCACCGCUAGGGAGCAGUUUGUCUCCCAUGAUAUCUGAUUCCAGGGUGCAUCUGAGGCCAACUUUCAUCUGAGAUGCAAAUCUUGGAGCAACACACAUGCACACAGUUACUGCUCGAGUCUGAAAUCCGCUGCCCGACCGCUCACCACAACACAGGACCGUCCAGAUUCCCAGUGCUCUCCAGAUCAAACAAAGACAAACGGCUCAGUCUGGAGUCUGUUUGACUCAAACUUCCCCUCCACCAAUCAGUGGCUAAAUUACACCAUGCAGGAUCCAAACAGAAGCAAACAAAAGAAAACAAAGCUGAUUGGCUGAGGCAGAAUGUGCAGGGAAAGCAGAAAAACAAUAUCAGCAAAAGUCAGUCACAGAGAGAGAGAGAGAGAGAGAGAGUCUGAAACACACACACACCGUUACUCCGCCCCCUUCGUCUUUAUUCAAUGCUUCUCAGCCUGAAG